rnacentral:rRNA from 1 species
AUUGAACGCUGGCGGCAGGCCUAACACAUGCAAGUCGAACGGAGUGGCGGACGGGUGAGUAAUGUCUGGGAAACUGCCUGAUGGAGGGGGAUACCGUCCGGAAACGGGCGCUAAUACCGCAUACUAUCAGAUGAGCCUAGGUCGGAUUAGCUAGUUGGUGGGGUAAAGGCCUACCAAGGCGACGAUCCGUAACUGGUCUGAGAGGAUGAUCAGUCAAACUGGAACUGAGACACGGUCCAGACUCCUACGUGAGGCAGCAGUGGGGAAUAUUGGACAAAGGGCGAAAGACUGAUCCAGCCAUGCCGCGUGUGUGAAGAAGGUCUUCGGAUUGUAAAGAACUUUAAGUUGGGAGGCGAAAACAAAAGAAAAAGCACCGGCUAACUUCGUGCCAGCAGCCGCGGUAAUAG